ACCCCAGGUACAGCAAAGGAAGGAUGGUCACAGCUAAAAAGACCCAUCUGUCCUGCUCCAGCCUUACCUGAGACAUUCGCCUCCAGUGUGCCACCUCUGCCUCCAGACGCACGACUUCUGUCGACAGCCUGUUGAUCUCCUGCUGCGACCAGAUGACGUCGCUGAGGUCCAUUUCGUCGCCGUGGAAGCCCUGGUGGGCCCCUGAGGGCCGAGACAGAAGGCUUCUGUACUCCGCAGACUGUCCUUUAAUCUGGAUCUCUGAUGCUUCCAGCUUCUCCUCGAGCUCUGCAUAGAGCUUUCUUAAUCUGUCAUACUGCAACAAAGACGGAGAAGGGAGGAGGUCAAUAACAGAAGAAAUAUGCAGGAAAUUAACAGUUUUCUCAUCUGAUAUACAGGAAAGGUGGUCAGAGCUUAGAGAGAUGCUGAAGGGCUCUUCAGCUGGAUGGAUGCUUA